AUGUUCACUUCAGCAGCACAUAUGCUAAAAUUGGAAUGAUACAGAGAAGAUUAGCAUGGCCCCUGCACAAGGAGGACAUGCAAAUUCAUGAAGGGUUCCAUAUUUUU
rnacentral:snRNA from 1 species